AGAGUUUGAUCCUGGCUCAGGAACAACGCUGGCGGCGUGCCUAACGCAUGCAAGUCGGGCGGGCCGUCGCUUCGGCGGCGGUCAGCGGCGGACGGGUGCGGAACGCGUGGCGAACCUGCCCCUCAGUGGGGGACAACCCCGGGAAACCGGGGCUGAUACCGCAUGAGUUGGCCGGCCGGUGGGGCCGGCCAGGAAAGCCGCGAGGCGCUGGGGGAGGGUGCUGCGUCCGAUUAGCUGGUUGGUGGGGUAACGGCCUACCAAGGCCGCGAUCGGUAGCGGGUCUGAGAGGACGGCCCGCCACAGGGGGACUGAGAGACGGCCCCCACACCUACGGGUGGCAGCAGCGAGGGAUUUUCGGCAAUGGGCGCAAGCCUGACCGAGCAACGCCGCGUGCGGGACGACGCCCUUCGGGGUGUAAACCGCUUUUGGGUGGGACGAGGAUGACGGUACCACUCGAAUAAGUCUCGGCUAACUACGUGCCAGCAGCCGCGGUAAUUC
rnacentral:rRNA from 1 species